CUUUACGUGCAGUAUAAACGAAGAAAAUUCCUUUGACAAAUUUCAUCCCUUUAAAGAAGUUAAUCACUCCGAAUCUACCAGAUUUCACUAAGAGAGUACACUUCGAGGACUGUCCUAAAAAUUAUGGAGCCAAACGGAGUUAAUAUGGACCGAAUUUUCACUCCAUUUCAUCGUCUGCCAAACAACCGACAUAUCGAUGAGCCGAUCAAUCGAAGCCAUCAUCGGGAAUCCUUCCUCCCUAAUAUCCACACGAGGUACCGC